CCUACGGGAGGCAGCAGUGAGGAAUAUUGGUCAAUGGCCGGAAGGCUGAACCAGCCAUGCCGCGUGAAGGUCAGUGCCCUAUGGGCGUUAAACUUCUUUUGUGCGGGAGCAAUAAUGGUCACGUGUGGCCAGACGAGAGUACCGUACGAAUAAGCAUCGGCUAACUCCGUGCAAGCAGCCGCGGUAAUACGGGGGAUGCAAGCGUUAUCCGGAUUUAUUGGUUUUAAAGGGUGCGUAGGCUGUGAGGUAAGUCAGCGGUGAAAUGCCCCCGCUCAACGGGGUGAAGUGCCAUUGAUACUGCCUUGCUGGAAUGCGGAUGCCGUGGGAGGAAUGUGUGGUGUAGCGGUGAAAUGCUUAGAUAUCACGAAGAACUCCGAUUGCGAAGGCAGCCUACUAAACUGCCACUGACAUUGAUGCUCGAAAGUGUGGGUAUCAAACAGGAUUAGAUACCCGAGUAGUC
rnacentral:rRNA from 1 species